rnacentral:rRNA from 1 species
GGGUUCGAUUCCCUAGAGGGAGCCUGAGAAACGGCUACCACAUCUAAGGAAGGCAGCAGGCGCGCAAAUUACCCAAUCCCGGCUCGGGGAGGUAGUGACAAAAAAUAACAAUGCGGGACUCUUAUGAGGCUUCGUAAUUGGAAUGAGUACAUUCUAAAUCCUUUAACGAGGAACUAUUGGAGGGCAAGUCUGGUGCCAGCAGCCGCGGUAAUUCCAGCUCCAAUAGCGUAUAUUAAAGUUGUUGCGUCUAAAAAGCUCGUAGUUUGAAAACUUGCCUUGGCUUAGAACAGGCGUCUAAGGGCGUCACCGUUUGUCGAGAGCAAAUAUGGGUGACUGUUCUUGCCUUCUUCACUGAUUGGCUCGUAAAAGUCAUCGAAGAUCACUUUGAUUAAAUUAGGGUGCUCAAAGCAAGUGUGCUACUUGAAUAUGAAUGCAUGGAAUGAUGGAAUAUGUUGUUGUUCUAUUUGUUGGUUUUUUGAAUGACGAAAUGAUUGAAAGGAACUGUUGGGGGCAUUCGUAUUGUUGUGAGAGAGGUGAAAUUCUUAGACCAUAGCAAGACGAACUACUGCGAAAGCAUUUGCCAAGAAUGUUUUCAUUGAUCAAGAACGAAAGUUAGAGGUUCGAAGGCGAUCAUACCGCCCUAGUUCUAACCAUAAACUAUGCCGACUAGCAAUUUGCUUUGUAUUUUUAUGACUAAGUGAGAGGCCACGGGAAACCAAAGUAGGGUUAUGGGGGAAGUAUGGUUGCAAAGCUGAAACUUAAAGGAAUUGACGGAAGGGCACCACCAGGAGUGGAGCCUGCGGCUUAAUUUGACCCAACACGGGAAAACUUACCUGGUCCUGACACUAGAAGGAUUGACAGAUUGAUAGCUCAUUCUUGAUUUGGUGGAUGGUGGUGCAUGGCCGUUCUUAGUUGGUGGAGUGAUUUGUCUGGUUAAUUCCGAUAACGAACGAGACUCUAGCCUAUUAAAUAAUAUGCGGAAUCAAUUUCUCCCGCGUUAUUUCUUAAUGGGAUCAAGCGUGUUUAACGCUUUGAAACAGAGCAAUAACAGGUCUGUGAUGCCCUUAGAUGUUCGGGGCUGCACGCGCGCUACAUUGAAGAACAAAGUGAGCCCUCUGGCUUUUAACAAAGCUAGAAAUCUUUUAAUGUUCUUCUUAAUGGGGAUAGGGGAUUGCAAUUGUGCCCCUUGAACGAGGAAUUCCCAGUAAGUGCUAGUCAUUAGCUAGUACUGAUUACGUCCCUGCCCUUUGUACACACCGCCCGUCGCUACUACCGAUUGAAUAGUUUAGUGAGAUCAUCUGAGUGUUUGUAUGUGCAUUCUGUGCUUGUAUGGUGUACGAAGAAGAUCAAACUUGAUUAUUUAGAGGAAGUAAAAGUCGUAACAAGGUU